rnacentral:rRNA from 1 species
CACGUAGGGCGCAAGCGUUGUCCGGAAUUAUUGGGCGUAAAGAGCUCGUAGGCGGUCUGUUGCGUCUGCUGUGAAAACCCGGGGCUUAACCCCUGGCUUGCAGUGGAUACGGACAGACUAGAGGUAGGUAGGGGAGACUGGAAUUCCUGGUGUAGCGGUGAAAUGCGCAGAUAUCAGGAGGAACACCGGUGGCGAAGGCGACUUUCUGGCCUGUUCUUGACGCUGAGGCGCGAAAGCUAGGGGAGCAAACGGG